rnacentral:rRNA from 1 species
CUCCUACGGGAGGCAGCAGUGGGGAAUCUUGGACAAUGGGCGCAAGCCUGAUCCAGCCAUGCCGCGUGAGUGACGAAGGCCCUAGGGUUGUAAAGCUCUUUCGGCGGGGACGAUAAUGACGGUACCCGCAGAAGAAGCCCCGGCUAACUCCGUGCCAGCAGCCGCGGUAAUACGGAGGGGGCUAGCGUUGUUCGGAAUCACUGGGCGUAAAGCGCACGUAGGCGGACCAUUAAGUCAGGGGUGAAAGCCCGAGGCUCAACCUCGGAACUGCCUUUGAUACUGAUGGUCUCGAGUCCGGGAGAGGUGAGUGGAAUUCCUAGUGUAGAGGUGAAAUUCGUAGAUAUUAGGAAGAACACCAGUGGCGAAGGCGGCUCACUGGCCCGGUACUGACGCUGAGGUGCGAAAGCGUGGGGAGCAAACAGGAUUAGAUACCCCGGUAGUCCACGCCGUAAACGAUGGAAGCUAGCCGUCGGUCGGCAUGCCGUUCGGUGGCGCAGCUAACGCAUUAAGCUUCCCGCCUGGGGAGUACGGUCCGCAAGAUUAAAACUCAAAGGAAUUGACGG